CUGACAGGUGUGGAGUCUGGUCACCGCCGACUGGGACGGUGUCCCUACGGUUCUGCCACUGGAGGGUGAGCGGGAGCCCAGGACGUCCCUGCUGGGCUGCAGGGAAACAUCCAACGACAGCACGGUGUUGCAUUUAAAUGCUGACGGAAGAAUGUCUCUUAGAGAAAUAAGUGUCCUGGGGGAUCAGCUGGCGUCCUGUUCCCUGGCCUCAGCGGAAGGAACACACUAGGAUCCCGAGACAGAACUUUCCGGUUGAAUUUACAUCAAAACACCAUUUUGUCUCUCCCUUCCCAACCAGAGAGUCACCCAUCGUUAGGAUUUGAUUCAUAUGCCUCUUGUUCAGUCUGCUCAGCCACAGAAAUGAACCAGAGCCCUUCCCUGGCCCUGGGGCUCUGGUUCAGGGUGGAGGGUUUUCCCUGACGUGCAGACUGGGGGCUCUGAGCUGCUCUGUUGGGUGAGGGAGUGGCGGCGAGAGUUCCCAGGCAAGCUUUGGUGACAGUGGGGCCCAAACACACAGACCAGGAGGCAGCGGGGCUGCGGAUAGGACCUGGUGUGACCACGUGCAGCCCAGGAGCAGUGGAGCCCUGGGCUCUUUGCACAGGCGCUGGAGGGCGUGGGUGGAGGUGGCCAGGGGCAGUGGAGGGACCUGCUGUGAGCACAGGGUGCUGCCGGGAGACUGGGAGGGCGGGUUGGGAGAGAGGAAGGAAGGGUCUGUCCAUACCCCUGCUGUGUGGCCUCCAGCAAGCCCCCUUCCUCUUCAGAGCCUCAGUUUCUCUUUCAAAACUCACAUGGCUUCUCAGAGCAAGUGCAUCUGCUCGGCCCUAAAAUUCAACUGGGAAUAAUGAGAGGUCCUUGGGUGCUUCCUUCCUGGGCAACUGGUUUACCCUCCCGGUGCUUCUUUGGGGUGGGAGGAGUUGGCGCGCACAAUAGAAACCCGUGGUGUGGCUUCCUUCCAUGGAAACCUUGUCUUAAAGCCGUGCGCGUGCUGGUGAGUGAGCCGGCACAGACGGGGCGGAGGCGGCAUGCCAGCCAGGCACAGGGGCGGCAUCUGUGGCAUCUUCCCCCACGCUGGCCAUCAGGUCUGCCCACGAGUGCAGGCCAUAGGAGCCGGACACACUGCCCUCCACUCCCAGCGUGGAGAACCCACCCGUUAUCUGCGGCGGCUGCGCAGGGAAGCAAGGGCGCCCGCACGUGGGAUGCAUUUUCCAUCGGAGCUGGAGGGCGAGGCGGGAGGAGGGCUGAGGACCAGGUGCGCUCUGUGCCUGCUUUUGUCCUGCCUGCGGCCUGGUCCCGCAGGCCCGUGGAGGGCCAUGCACGAGGAAGGGAUCUCUGACGCCACCCGAGGCCCUCUGCUCCCCCACUCCCGCCCCUACCGUGCCUCUCCGCAGCGGGGACUUCUUCCCACGCAGGCCUUUGAACCGGCCAGUCUCCGAGGCCAGUCGGCCCCCAUGGUGGGUGACACGGAGGCUGCCUCUGACUGUGCAGAGACAUGCAUCCCGCCAACGGGCGGGGCAGCACCUGCGCUGCAGAAA